rnacentral:rRNA from 1 species
UACGGAGGGUGCAAGCGUUGUCCGGAUUUAUUGGGUUUAAAGGGUGCGUAGGCGGCCUAUUAAGUCAGUGGUGAAAUCCAGCAGCUUAACUGUUGAAUUGCCAUUGAUACUGAUAGGCUUGAGUACAGUCGAGGUAGGCGGAAUUGACGGUGUAGCGGUGAAAUGCAUAGAUAUCGUCAAGAACACCGAUUGCGAAGGCAGCUUACUAGAGUGUAACUGACGCUGAGGCACGAAAGCGUGGGGAUCAAACAGG